GACGAACGCUGGCGGCGUGCCUAAUACAUGCAAGUUGAGCGAUGAAGAUUGGUGCUUGCCCCAAUUUGAAGAGCAGCGAACGGGUGAGUAACGCGUGGGGAAUCUGCCUUUGAGCGGGGGACAACAUUUGGAAACGAAUGCUAAUACCGCAUAACAACUUUAAACAUAAGUUUUAAGUUUGAAAGAUGCAAUUGCAUCACUCAAAGAUGAUCCCGCGUUGUAUUAGCUAGUUGGUGAGGUAAAGGCUCACCAAGGCGAUGAUACAUAGCCGACCUGAGAGGGGGGUCGGCCGCCUUGGGACGGGGCCACGGCCCAAACGCCUGAGGGAGGGCGCAGUAGGGAAUCGUAGGCAAUGGACGAAAGUCUGGCCGAGCAAGGCCGCGUGAGUGAAGAAGGUGUUCGGAGCGUAAAACUCUGUUGGUAGAGAAGAACGGUGGUGAGAGUGGAAAGCGCAUCAAGUGACGGUAACUACCCAGAAAGGGACGGCUAACUACGUG
rnacentral:rRNA from 1 species